ACAGGAAUUGCUUGCUCUUGAAGAAAGUAUAGGUUUGGUGCUCUGGUGCUCUGUGGCAUGUGUUAGUGGAGUUUAGAAGGCGAAUUCGUUCAUUUUAUCUGAUCAACCAAAGUUUACAACGUCUGACUUUCCAUGUUUCGUUGUUUGAUUGAGCUCUUAACUGAAAUGAUUUGUCUAAUUUAUUGAUUUCAUCAAGAAGAUUGCAACUUCCUCGCAACUCCAACCCCGUGAGCAGCCCGCCUUCAUCGUCUAGGAUGUCAUAAGAUUCAAGGAAUUGGUGCUGGUGUUAUCCCUGAUGUUUUGGACGUCGGCAUUCUUGAUGAAGUUAUAAUGAUAACCGGUGAAGAGCCAAGGUGUCUCUAAAGGCUGUGCUCUGGAAUGCGCUAUUCUUAGUCCCACCUUUAAAGUUAGAGAGUUUCAGGCCUAUAUCUCUUGAGUAUGUGAUUUGUUUUAGCUAAUUAUGUUGAAAAGACGAUGGUAACAUGGCCUUAGUUGCAGGCAUGCAAGAAGAUAUUCCUGCAGUCUUCAGGCUUUUGAGUGUCAAGACAAACUUAAAAAUGGAUGAUUAGAUCAAAAUGUCCUUUUGAGAUUCAUAAGAUACUUUGUUAAUAAGUGUUUGGUUUGACUUUUGCUCUAGAUAGAUUUGUUAUUCUAUGAUAUCUCUUUCCAUUUUUAAUUAGAAAAAUUAACCAA